rnacentral:rRNA from 1 species
CGUGAGUGGCGGACGGGUGAGUAACGCGUGGGUAACCCGCCUCAUACAGGGGGAUAACAGUUAGAAAUGACUGCUAAUACCGCAUAAGACCACAGCACCGCAUGGUGCAGGGGUAAAAACUCCGGUGGUAUGAGAUGGACCCGCGUCUGAUUAGGUAGUUGGUGGGGUAACGGCCUACCAAGCCGACGAUCAGUAGCCGACCUGAGAGGGUGACCGGCCACAUUGGGACUGAGACACGGCCCAA